GGUUUUGGUCCACGAGACUCUAAACUUAAAAUCUUAUAGCUCUGGAAAAUAUUACAAUACCAUAACCUUGUUGUCAACAGUACCAAUUAGCCGAAGCUCAUUGUUUGUGAAAUGUCUGAUUCUUGACUCUCUCCCUCUCAAGCUUUUCUUUUCUUAACACCCCUGUCUUAUUUUCAUUUCAAUUACAGGUUAUAAAAAAAAAAAAAAAACCCACUAAUAUAUGAUACGAUAAUCCAGGCCAGAACAAUUAAGAAGUACCCUUCUCCAAUGAAGCUGACAACUUUAACAGGGGUAUCAGGAACUAUAGUUGCAACAAUUGUAGCAGCAAUCACAGAUCAUAAAGUAUCAUCUUGGAGAUUGUCCUGGGAUAUGACUUUUGUGGCUCCCCUUUACAACGGAAUUAUGAUUUUUGGGAUAGUAGCUUAUGUCAAACUCUGAUAGUAGGGAGAAGGGGCCCGGUUUUCACGACCUCAUCUAGGCCAGUCACAACAGUUUUUGUAGCAAUUAUAGGACUGUUCAUUUGAGGAGAAGGAUUACACUUAGGAAUGGUACUAGGAGCUGCAAUGAUAUUUCUUGGGUUGUUUGCAAUUAUGCGGGGAAAGGAAGUAGAGAAAAAGAAACAGCUGGCGGAGCUUGCAAUUUCUGAUCAAGAAAAGGAACAGCUGGUGGAGCCUGCAAUUUCUAAUCAAGAUCAUAUUUUGAUUAAAACCCAAAACUAAAAAACAGUGGUGUUAUUCCAAAUUUUCAGUCAUGUUUGAAGCUUAAUCACUUUUUUUUGGUAA